GCACUUUCCACUUUAUAAUCUUAUUUUUUGUUAAUCUCGUUUCCUUGUUCUAGUGAAAAAUUUUUUUAUAUUUUUCGUGCCUGACAUGGUGGGGGCGGUUCGAUAAGUAUUUGUUCAAAGAAAGUACAGCUAACUCUGCGAUGUGGGGUACUUAGAUGAGAAAACCGAGAUGCACUGAGGUUAAGUGACAAGACGAAGGUCCUCUAGCUAAUGACUCAGCUUAUUCUAUAGCCUCAAUCCCUUUCCCAACCACCAGACUGCCUUCUACUCUGAGCUGUCUAAGUCCUCUUCUUCUGUCCAUCAUGUCACUGGCUGAUGCGGAAGGGUUUGGGCUCGUCAUCAGAACUGGGAUAAAGGAUCCUAGCUGAGCCAUUCCUGAUGCUCCGAUUAAUGCACGCCUCAACAAACAUGCCACCAUCCAGAGGCCACCUGAAAGGAUGUUGAAACUGCAAGCACCACGAAUGACCUCUUUGGAGCUGGCAGCUACAACCCCUUGGGGCUCUUUGUCACAUUAUGGAGACAAAGACCAGUCUGGAAACAUUAUCCGCUGCGGACGCGAGCGAGCACGGAACGUGUCUGGUCUCAAGUGGUUUUUCAAAGAAGAAAUCUUGCACUAAAAUUUAGAAGGCCAUUUAUAUACUUCCAUACUGCAAUUCUCUAAUUUCAUCCCAGUUAAGCCUAUCAUGAAGGUAUAAUAUCAAUCCAGGCAACAGGAUAAGAAAUCU
rnacentral:lncRNA from 1 species